CCUACGGGAGGCAGCAGUGGGGAAUUUUGGACAAUGGGCGCAAGCCUGAUCCAGCCAUGCCGCGUGCGGGAAGAAGGCCUUCGGGUUGUAAACCGCUUUUGUCAGGGAAGAAAUCCUCUGGGUUAAUACCUCGGGGGGAUGACGGUACCUGAAGAAUAAGCACCGGCUAACUACGUGCCAGCAGCCGCGGUAAUACGUAGGGUGCGAGCGUUAAUCGGAAUUACUGGGCGUAAAGCGUGCGCAGGCGGUUGUGUAAGACAGGUGUGAAAUCCCCGGGCUUAACCUGGGAACUGCACUUGUGACUGCACGGCUUGAGUGCGGCAGAGGGGGAUGGAAUUCCGCGUGUAGCAGUGAAAUGCGUAGAUAUGCGGAGGAACACCGAUGGCGAAGGCAAUCCCCUGGGCCUGCACUGACGCUCAUGCACGAAAGCGUGGGGAGCAAACAGGAUUAGAUACCCUGGUAGUCCACGCCCUAAACGAUGUCAACUGGUUGUUGGACGGCUUGGUCUGUUCUAGUAACGUAGCGUACGCGUGAGUAGACCGCCGUGGGAGGUACGGCCGCGACGGUACGAACGUACGAAAGAAGUUAGUACGGCGUGAGACGUAGCCGACGGACGACGACGAGGGAGGAGGG
rnacentral:rRNA from 1 species